rnacentral:rRNA from 1 species
AUUGAACGCUGGCGGCAGGCCUAACACAUGCAAGUCGAACGGUAACAGAAAGCAGCUUGCUGCUUUGCUGACGAGUGGCGGACGGGUGAGUAAUGUCUGGGAAACUGCCUGAUGGAGGGGGAUAACUACUGGAAACGGUAGCUAAUACCGCAUAACGUCGCAAGACCAAAGAGGGGGACCUUCGGGCCUCUUGCCAUCGGAUGUGCCCAGAUGGGAUUAGCUAGUAGGUGGGGUAACGGCUCACCUAGGCGACGAUCCCUAGCUGGUCUGAGAGGAUGACCAGCCACACUGGAACUGAGACACGGUCCAGACUCCUACGGGAGGCAGCAGUGGGGAAUAUUGCACAAUGGGCGCAAGCCUGAUGCAGCCAUGCCGCGUGUAUGAAGAAGGCCUUCGGGUUGUAAAGUACUUUCAGCGGGGAGGAAGGGAGUAAAGUUAAUACCUUUGCUCAUUGACGUUGCCCGCAGAAGAAGCACCGGCUAACUCCGUG